rnacentral:tRNA from 2 species
GGGGGUGUAGCUCAGUUGGUUAGAGCGCCUGCCUGUCACGCAGGAGGUCGUGGGUUCGAGCCCCAUCACUCCCGCCA